rnacentral:rRNA from 1 species
CGGUGGAUGAUGUGGUUUAAUUCGAUGCAACGCGAAAAACCUUACCCACCUUUGACAUGGCAGGAAUCCCGAAGAGAUUGGAGUGCUCGAAAGAGAACCUGCACACAGGUGCUGCAUGGCUGUCGUCAGCUCGUGUCGUGAGGUGUUGGGUUAAGUCCCGCAACGAGCGCAACCCUUGCCAUUAGUUGCUACGAAAGGGCACUCUAAUGGGACUGCCGGUGACAAACCGGAGGAAGGUGGGGAUGACGUCAAGUCCUCAUGGCCCUUAUAGGUGGGGCUACACACGUCAUACAAUGGCCGGUACAGAGGGUAGCCAACCCGCGAGGGGGAGCCAAUCCCACAAAGCCGGUCGUAGUCCGGAUCGCAGUCUGCAACUCGACUGCGUGAAGUCGGAAUCGCUAGUAAUCGCGGAUCAGCAUGUCGCGGUGAAUACGUUCCCGGGUCUU